UGGGGGAUAGUUUAACGGUAGAACGCUCGGCUCUGACCCGAGCAGUCCUGGUUCGAAUCCAGGUCCCCCAGCCA
rnacentral:tRNA from 1 species